GAUGAACGCUGGCGGCGUGCUUAGCACAUGCAAGUCGAACGGAAAGGCCAGUGCUUGCACUGGUACUCGAGUGGCGAACGGGUGAGUAACACGUGGGUGAUCUGCCCUGCACUUCGGGAUAAGCCUGGGAAACUGGGUCUAAUACCGGAUAGGACAAUGGUUUGGAUGCCGUUGUGGAAAGUUUUUUCGGUGUGGGAUGAGCUCGCGGCCUAUCAGCUUUUUGGUGGGGUAAUGGCCUACCAAGGCGUCGACGGGUAGCCGGCCUGAGGGGGUGUACGGCCACAUUGGGGCUGGGGAACGGGCCAGGCUCCCACGGGGGGGAGGAGGGGGGAAUAUUGGACAAUGGGGGCGAGCCUGAUGCAGCGACGGCGCGUGGGGGAUGACGGCCUUCGGGUUGUAAACUCCUUUCGCGAGGGACGAAGCGUAGUUGUGACGGUACCUGGAGAAGAAGCACCGGCUAACUACGUG
rnacentral:rRNA from 1 species